rnacentral:lncRNA from 10 species
CAUUCUCCUGCCUCAGCCUCCCGCGUAGCUGGAGUACAGGCAUCCGCUACCGCGCCCGGCUAAUUUUUUGUAUUUUUAGUAGAGACGGGGUUUUGCUGUGUUAGCCAAGAUGGUCUGGAUCUCCUGGCCUCGUGAUCCGCCCGCCUCAGCCUCACAAAGUGCUGGGAUUACAGGCGUGAGCCACUGCGCCUGGCUGUACCUUCUUAUUUUCUGUAUCUCUCCGGAGUUUCUGCAGAGUCUGAUUCUAAAUGACUUUUAUUUCCCACCUAAAAAAUUAUUGAGAGUGAUAUCAGCAAGAAUCACUAUUUGAUCAUCAUCACCCCACGGAAGCAUCAAUUUUAAUGGCCACACAUGGAUGAGAGUACCUUUGAGAGAGUCUGGGAAUCCAGUGGACAAGUUCCAGCUUACCAUUGAAGAAGAAAAUUUGAGAAUAGAUGCAUUGAAGAGGGUAAGAAAAACAGUUUCAUUUACCUAUGUCACUCCUCUAAGGUGACAUAGCUCAAUACCAAGAGAGACCCCUUUAGUCCAUGAUUUAUCCUGUAGGAAAAAGUGAGAGUAUAGUCAGUGAGCAGCCAGCCAUGGGGUGCUGCCAAAGAGGCCCACUUGUUUUUAGCCCCACCCAGCACAGCUGAGUGGCUGGGAGAGGCUGGAAGCAGAGAAGAGAGAUGGGGAUUUACAGCAACCAGGGCAUGGAAUUCAACCAAAGGCCUUGGAUGCUACUAACUGCUUUGGAGACUUGAUCAGAAAACCUGCCCAUGAGCUGCUUGGGAGACCUUGCCUGCAGACCCCUUCAGCUGGCUCAUGGGCACCCCCAACACUGUGUACCUCACUCCUGCCCCUGACUGUGGCUGGCUCUGUGCAUGUGCCUGUGAACACAAAGUACAGGCCUCUGCAGAUGGCUUAUGAGCUUGCACAGACAACCAGCCUGAUUCUGAAAAAUAGGAAGAAGCUAUACAAACUUGAGCAUUUCAGGGCACGGACCUAGGAACAAGAAAUGGUAGCCUUUUUUAAUCUACCAUGGCUUGUGUGAUUGAGAGAAGACAUACAAUCUUAAGUAUUCCUCCUCAAGAGGGAACAAGAGAUGUGGAGUAGGCAAAUCCAUAGAUAAGUUCUGAGAGAGCCUCAGAAAUCCCUAGUCAGGCUGGCUGGUGAUGGUAUUUCUCUUCUGAAGCUAGUCAGUACAGAUUUGAGGAGGUGAUUACUUUUUCCGGUGUCUUUAAGGAACAAGAAAAACCAAGUAAACACGAUACUAUCAGAGGAAUAUAAUACUUUUCCAGUAACUGACUCUAAAGAAAUGGAGAUCUACAAAUUGCCCACAAAUAAUUUAAAAUAAUUGUUUUAAGGAAACUCAGCUGUGUUCAGCAUCUUUUCAACACAGAUAGACAACUCAACAUAAUCAGGUAAACAAAAUGAGAAGUUAACAAAGAGAAAUUGUAAAAAAGAACCAAACAGAAAUUCUGGAAUUGAAGAAUAGGAUGAAUGAAUAAAAAAAUGCAACAAAAAGCAUCAAGAGCAGACUAGAUCAAGCCAAAAUAAAUAAAUACAUAAAUAAAUAAAUAAAAGAAAAAAACAUGAACUCAGUAACAGGUCAUUUGAAAUUAUCCAGUAAGUGAAGAAAAACGAAUGAAAAGAAACAAGGCUGUGGGAUUUAUGGGACACCAUCAAGAGAAUUAUGGGAAUUCCCAAAGAAGAAGAGUGAGAGAAAAGAGAAGCAAAGCUCAUUUAGGGAAAUAAUAACUGAAAACUUCCCUAAUCUAGGGAUAGAUAUAGACACCUAGGGAUAUGGCACAUUAUAAUCAAACUAUCAAAAAUCAAAGUCAAGGAGAGAUUUUUGAAAGCAGCAAAAGAGACUCAUCACAUACAAGGGAAUGCCCAUUAAACUAUCAGUGGGCUUCUCUGCAGGAAUUUUGCAGGCCAGGAAAAAGUAGAUAAUAUAUUAAAAGUGCUGAAAGAAAAAAUUGCCAAUCAAGACUACUUUACCUAGCAAGUCUGUUUCAGAAAUGAAGGAGAGAUAAAGACAAACAAAAGUUGUGGGAGUUCAUCACCACUAGACGUGCCUUAUAAGAAAUGCUAAGGGAGUUCUUCAAACUGAAAUGAAAGAAUGCUAGUUAGCAAUACAAAAAUAUAUGAAAGUAUAAAAUAAGUAUAUAGUCAAAUUCAGAAUACUCAAAUACUGUAAUGAAGGUAUGUAAAUCAAUUUAAACUCUAGUAUAAAGGUUAAAAUACAAAAAUAUUAAAAAUAACUAGAACUACAAUAACUUGUCAAUAGAUACAUAGUAUAAAAAAUAGAUUGUGGUAUUAUAUUUCAAUAUGCUCCACAUAGAAAGACAAAUACGGCAUCAUCUUAUGUGUAUGUGGAAUCCAAAAAUGUUGAACCUGUAGAAGCAGCAGAAUGGUGGUUAUCAGGGGCUGGAAGGUAGGGAAAAUUGGGAGAUUUAAUCAGAGUGAAAACUUUCAUUCAUAAUGUGAAUAAUUUCUGGAACCUAAUGUAUAGCAUGAGCCACUGUGCCCAGCCUAGUAUAAUGUUCUUAAAAAACGUUUUUGAGGAUGGGGGUUAAGGGGAGGGAGAGCAUUAGGACAAACACUUAAUGGAUGUGGGACUUAAAACCUAGAUGACGGGUUGAUAGGUGCAGCAAACCACCAUGGCACAUGUAAACCUAUGUAACAAACCUGCAUGUUCUGCACAUGUAUCCCAGAACUUAAAAUAAAAAAAAAAAAUGUUUUUGAGGGUAGGGAAGAGGUUAAGACAAAUGAAUCUGAUUGUGACAAUAGUAAGAUUAGUAGCAGAAGUAUUAUUAUGUUAGCAGCAGCUGUAGUGUAUUGAAGCUACCAUAUGCCAGGCAAUGAUGCAAUGCAUCUGUGCUAGACUCCUUGUGUACAUUGUUUCACCAGUUCUAAAAGGCUGAUUUUAGUGUCAUUACUUUAUGUUUGUGGAAACUGAGGUCCAGAGAGGUUAGAUAACUUGCCCAAAGUGACACAUCUGGGAAGUGAAUAAGCAUGAAUUCAAACUUAGAUAUGACUCCAAAGUCCAUGCUUUUUACUUUAUGCUCCCCUCCAGACAAAGAGAACAUUAAGGAAUGAGGAAUAGACAGGAGGGUUAGAACAUAGGCUAAUUGUACACCCUCAGCAACAUUAAAUGCAACCACCUCAGCAUUUAAGGGGGUAAAUUUCCUUAUGUGAGAAAAAGUAGAGUCGCAGCUAGUAGGUGAAAUGACUGAACCGAAUUGCACUUAUUGCUAGGAAAUUUAAACAAGACAAAUUUGUUGAGUCUUAUGCUAAUGUUCUAAGAGAACAGUCAGGGAAUAGAAAGAUAUGGUAUUAUCAUGGAGGAAACCAGCAAUGAGGAAAGAUGACAGACUAAGCUUCAAAAUUCCUUAAGAAGUGGACACUUAAGAGCUCUGGAUCUGCAACUAAAUAUACCUUCCAUUGUUUUUUUUUUUUUUCUUUUUUUUGAGAUGGAGUCUUGCUCUGUCUCCCAGGUUGGAGUGCACACUCAGGCUGGAGUGCAGUGGCACAAUCUCGGCUCAUUGCAACCUCCGUCUCUUGGGUUCAAGUGAUUCUCCUGCCUCGGCCUCCUUA